UCCAAUUCCAAACUUUUUCAAGAAUUCUACUUUUUCAUUCUGAAAAAAUUUCAGGGAGUUAAUGAUCUUAUAAAAAUACUCUUCAAAUACUUUGAAAAAUUAUGAACCAUAGAAGAAAUUCUUUUACAACGCCUUUAGCUUGAAGACUUAUCGAGUUAAUUUACCUCAUGAGCAGGAAUUAUUUCUUUCAUAGAAUGGUAGAACCCAAAGUACACCAUAUUGAAGAGACCAUUACGAUGGAUAGUGGCGCUAAGUCCUUUGAAGAGCCCUCUAGAUCCCAAACCGCCAUUUGCGAUGAUUUUUCUGGCAACCAGGAAGGUCGACGGAGCAUCCUUCACUUUCUGCCUAUUGGCUUGUAGUUCUACUUUGACCACUUCAAA